GAUGAACGCUGGCGGCGUGCCUAAUACAUGCAAGUCGAGCGAACAGUUGAGGAGCUUUGUUCGCUGACGUUAGCGGCGGGCGGGGGAGGAACAGGUGGAUAAACUACCUUAACGAAUGGAUUAACGGCGGGUAACCGUAGCUAAUAGGGGAUAAUAUAUUGUACCGCAUUGUUCAAUAGUGAAAGACGGUUUUGCGCUCACUUGUGGAUGGAUCCUCGCCGCAUUAGCGAUUUGUUAAGUAAAUGGCUUACUAAGGCAACGAUGCGUAGCCGACCCGAGAGGGUGCUCGGCCACACUGGACUUGAGACACGGCCCAGACCCCUACGGGGGGAAGCGGUAGGGAAUUUUCCGAAAGGGGGGAAAGCCUGCCGGAGCAACGCCGCGGGAGUGAUAAAGGUCUUCGGAUCGUAAACUCCUGUUAUUGGGAAAGAACAAAUGUGUAAGUAACUAUGCACGUCUUGACGGUACCUAAUAAGAAAGCCACGGCUACCUACGU
rnacentral:rRNA from 1 species